AACAUUUUGAACGUGCCACGGAGGAUCAAGGCAAAAAACGAGAGCAAAAAAAGGUGCACGCUGAAGGCGGAAAUGAAGCAUGAUCUGGCUUGCAUCUGGUCAUGAAGAAAUUGCUGACACGUUAGUUGCAGUCCACCUCCACCAACAGGGUGGAAAACAAAGGUCGCCAUUCCGAUUAGCUGCU